rnacentral:sRNA from 1 species
AAAUUUUAAAUAAUAUUAUUAUAUACAAUUAUUAUUUUUUACUAUUAAUUAAGGAAUAAUAUAUUCUUUUAAGCGAGACGCGGUAAUUUAUUAAAAUAAACGUACGCGCGGCAUUUUACAAAUUACAAAUUACGGAAAACGUUAAAUAUUUUACAACGUUUAGAAUUUAUUUUAAAUUAUUUCAAUAAUUAGUAUUUUUAUUUAAAUUUGCCCGGGCGCCCGCAAUUCUUUACUAUUAUACCAACGAUAUAUUAGAUAAUAUAUUGGGGGAUUAUAUAUUAAUUUAUUUAGAUAAUAUUCUAUUUAUUCUUUCGGUUUUAAAUCCGAUUAUUAAUUAAACAUAACCCGGAUAUUAAAUAAAUUGGUUAUAACAGCAUUUAAUUUAAAUUUCGAUAGAAACGCGUUGCGGUAAAAUAAAUGAAAUAUUUGGUGUUUUGUUAAUAUUUAUAAAUGUUAACAGGGGAUAUAAGGGUAAACCCUAGGUGCGGCGUAAUAAAUAACCAAUGUUAAAAAAGCGCUAAAUGCAUUAAAAUAAAACGUAGUACGCAAAUGGACAUUAAUAUAUUGGUGGGAGGAUUUUGCUUUGUCCUUUUAUAUAUUUUCCGAUAUUAAAAUGGGGGUCGGCACGCUAAAAAGGUUUCCGGUACCGCAAAUAAAUUUCCGAAAAAUUAGUUUGUAUAAGUUUGUUAAAAAACACUUUUAUUUGCUAACGAACCAUUUUUAAAUUUGUACGCAAUUGUUAAUUUGGUAAGUUUUUUAACCCGGUACAGGCUAGUUAAUUUGUAAGUGCAGGGUGGGUAUUAAACCCGGUACAGGGGAUUAACCCCAUUUGUUAACUUUUAAAUCGCAUUCCUGCAUUUAACAAAUUAACGGAAUUCCAACCACCCCACUUUGGUAUUAUAUAUAAUAAAUUAUAUAGAAAUAAAAGUGGGUUUAUUAUAUGCGAAAUAAUAUAUAUAAUAAACAGGUCUAUUAUUAAAACGGGGAAAAAAAUCCAAAUUAACCCCGAAAAAAUAAAAAUAAUCCGAAAUUAGGAAAUUCCGACGAAAUUCCGAAAGUUCCGCGGUUUUUUGGGGUUUGCGAAUUUUUGUUAUAAUUUUAUAAACGGUUAUUUCAUGUUAACGGCCUUAAUAUUAGUACUUACGACAAAGAAACCGUUUUAAUAAAUAAAGAAAUUCAAAAAAACGUUCGAAACGCUAAAAUGCGCAUUUUUCCAAAUAUUAAUAUUUAUUUAAUAAAAGGACACAAAAAAUCUAAAAUUAGUAAUAAAUUAUUCCGGUACGGCGUAGGGGGGUUGUUUUUCGCAAAAAAAAAAACAGACGGAUUAUAACUUCCGGUCGCGUUUUAUUCGACCAAAUUAAUUAACGUUAAAGAAAAUUAUACUAUUUAUAAUAAAAAACUAUUUGCGGUAAUAAUAUAUUUGAAAAUAUGGAACGCGGAAUUCCUCAACGUUCGCCGGCCUUUUUCAAUUUUAAUAAAUUAAAAACCGUUAAAAUAUCUUUUCAAAUUUAAUUAUAAUUUACGUUUCCGUCCUGGCCGAUUAACGGGAAUUUUCGACGCGUUAUUUAAAAAAAGUAAAUGUAUAUUAUUAUUAAUAACCUUAUUACGCCCGGUUAUAUUAUAAAUAAAUCUAACGCCGGUAAAUAUUAUAACCCCCGUAAUCGCCACGGCUUUCCCGCCAAAAUUGCAGGCUUUUGCCCAGACGUAUUUGGCCCGGUUAUAAAACAAAAUAUUAUUCAAAAACAACCUAUACCAAAUAUAUUUAAACGCAAUAUACAAAAAUAAAUAACGUUUUCCGCCAAAAAACGAAACAAAAAAGUAAACGCGUUCGGGGCCUUAUAAUAUAAAAGAUAAUUAUAAUUACCAAAUUAAAACUUAUUAAUUAUAACGGUAUUAUAACGGAUUUGUAAAUUACCGGUAAUUAAUUAUUUCGGUAAAGAUAAUACGUUUAUUAUAUUCGCCAAAAAUUAUUAAUAAAGCGGUAUAAUAAAAUAAAAUAUAUAAACCGUUUUAUUUAUAAUUAUAAUAUAUAUCGGCGAACGAAAUUUUCGCGGCGGACGCGCCAAAACUCUUUCCAACCGUUAUUUUUACCGGAUAAAUUUUGGAAAUAAAUUCCCAUCGAUUUUAUAACCGAUUAUCCCGGAAACGGAAAAAUAAUUUUUCGUUAUUUAAUAAUUAGUAUAAAUUAAUUUUCCAAAUAUAUAUAAUUGCAAAUAAUAUAUUUAAUAAAAAUGGAGAAUUGCGCGGUGCAAUUUCUGUUAUUUUAAUAAUAACUCCGGGAUUCUUCCAAUUAUAUUAUUUCCAAUAAACAUUUGAAUUGGGUGGGAGAUUUAUAAACGGAAUUAUAUAAAUAAACGGGGGUAAAAUAAUUAUUCUUUGUUUUUUAUUGUCCAAAAACCGACGGGGGUACGGAAUAAACCAACUAAAACAAUUUAAUGAUAUUUUUGGAUUUAUAUAAUUUUGAACUAAAAAAAUUCGUUUGAUUAUUUGGGGGCCGUAUAAUAGGUUUUUAAUAACCGGAGUUUAUUUAUUACGGAAAUAAAGUCAAAUAAAUUAUUAUGGGAAUUUAAUAUUAAAACGGUACCAAAUAUCCUUUUUUCUAAAACCCCGGUUUUAAACCCGAAAACUAAAGCCACGCAAUUUUUAAAAUAUUUACGGAAAAAUUCCAAAUUAAUUUAAAUUAUUAUUAUAUAUAAUUAGUAACGUUAAAAACCGGGGCGAACAAAUUAUAAUAUUCAACCAAAUAAUUCCGGGUUGGAUAUAAAAUAUUCUUUAAUUUACAAUAUAUAUAUACGAACAGCCCGUAUAAAAAAUUCGAUUAUAUUUACGGAAAAUACCAGGUAAUAAUAAUAUAAAUUCUAUUUACAAUUACGCUAAAUAUUCCUAGAAAAACGUCUUUAUUUUUUAUAUAAAAUUAAUAAAACGGGCUGUUAAUAAUAUAUUAUGUUUGUAUUUUUGGACGGAUUCCCGGCCCGGCCCCGAAUUUUAACCGAUAAAAAAAUCGACAAACCCGAAAAAGUUUGGGUUGUAAAAACAGUUAUAACCGCGAAACAUUAUAAAGACAAACGGCCGCCAAAUAUCAAUAAAAUAAUCAAAUUAAAAUAAUUUUACGUAAAAACCGUUGGAAUUUAUAAUAAGUACUAAUAUUUUGGACGCGUUCGACGUUCUUUGGGGAAACGUCCGUAUUAACAACGGACCGAUUUCCAAACGUCGUUAACCCGCCGCGAUUAUUAUAACAAAACGUUUUAUAAUUACAAAUCCAAAAAAGAUUAGUACCGCGGAUCCGCAACGGCGCAAUGCAAAAUUGUUACGCGUUUUAUAUUUAUAAACUUUAAUAACGAAAUUAAUCGGCAAAAUAUUUACUCGUAACCAAAUAUAACAGAAAUAUCAAAAUCCCGGGACCGGUUAACAUUUCUAAAAAGAAAAUUUUAUUUAAAACUAU